GACGAGACUGCGGCGCUCCCACCAUCCCUACGCCGCACCGUCCAAAAUGGCUGCCACCAGUUUAAGAGCUUUUUAAUCUCUAACGUCUAUUUGGUGCCCUCCGUCUGGAAGUUGCACUUUAACGUGAUCGUGUCGCCGAUGACGACAGGUGGGAGGGGAUCCAUGGAAACGAUCAGGUAACCUGCAGCUACAAGAUGCUUGUUUUCAUCAGGAGUGAAUCAAUAUCCGGCUCUCCACAUUGACCUUGGGGACAAAGGUCACCUUGCAGAGCAACGCGGCAGCCAGCCUCACCUCUGCU